rnacentral:lncRNA from 1 species
CUCACUGAUGUUUCCCUCCAACCCCUGGUAAACUCUCACUGAAUGAAGAAAGCUCUCUGAAAACGUCAUAUAUAAGCUCUGGAAUUUUCACAAAUGCCCACAACAGAGUCACAAUGAUCAAUGGAAAAAUACUCCCUCAUUAAUGCCACAUACCAGCAUUAUCAACCACCUAAAAGAUGAAUGAUUUAGACCCCAAUUAAACACCAUGAAAAGCAUAUGUUACAGAGAAUCAAGCAGAACUCUACAGAGAAUGUGGUGAUGGCGUUCAGGACACACCACCCCAAAUAUGGCACUUUAUAUUUGCCAGUGGUUAGCCUCCAGUUAAAUGUGCAUGCUAGAGAAGACCCUUACAGAACAUGGCCUCACAGUUCACAAUUUAUGAAGGGAUUGUGUUGCGCAAGUUCACUUGGAGAAAAAUGAACCAUGACAGAGAGAAAACAGCUGAACCCAGAACCCAAGAUGUAGCCAUGCCAAUCAGUGGGGGAGAAACAGAUCAAGGAGUGGCAAAGCUUGGAUCUGACUUCUCCAAUUGUUUUGGAAAUAUGAAACAAUUGGAGAUCUGAAGCUUCAAAACUCCUACCAACCACCAUCUCCUUCGUGAAGCCUUCCCUGCCCACCCCAGAUAGGAGGAAUGAAUGAACACCAGUAGUCUGCUGGCCUGCCUGGUCUGCCUGGUGUCUGGCAUCCAGAGACUUUUCCUGGCUGACCUUUUGGAGAAUGUCCAACAUUGAGAAAAUGGAAUCCAAAAGAAGACACAGAACCGGGCUCCAUGUUUUCAGAGACUGCACCACAUUGGUCAUUGGAGUUAAAUGUGUUCAUAUCCAUCGGCUCUGUGCUCUGUCACGCAAAAUAUUAAAAUGAAAUGCUAGGAGAACAGUUUGAAGCAAUCCUUCCUGUUCUUGAAACUCACCUUUAGCUGCUGAGAACGCUGGUAAUCCCUUUGUAGCUUACUGGGGGCACAUUUAUCAGUGAGGCAGCUAAGCCAAUUGUAGCUGCAUUCACAGGUGACCGUGCUGUCUGCCUGCCUUCCCAGAGAUACAAGAAACAAAACCAAACUGAUAGAGAGGAUCUGGCAUUGCAAAUUCACCCAAGAGAGGAGCCCAGGCCAGACUUCUGUUUUUAUGGACAGGAACAUUCGGUCCUCAGCAGACUUGCCUCUGAAUUCACAGGCUCCUCUUACAAUGCAAGCCACAAUUCUGAAAAAUAAAAGGGGAUCUCAAGCAGAAAAAGAGAUUACAAAUAAGGAUCAUUCAACAACAAUAACCAAAACAUAAACCCUGGCAACCACUGUGCUAAGCAGCCCUGGCGGAUGCCAGUCUUGCC